UUCAUUCCAAGAGAGCCCAUCAAUGCAUAUAAAGCUAGACUUUAUUUCCUUUGUCCAGGGUCGUAUUUAUAGAGACAAGAAAGCACAUAAUGUCUUUUGAACGAAGACAUUUAUUCAGAAAUCCUUACUUUCCAUGAAAUAUCACAAAACCUUGGCUACAACAACAACAACAAUGACUACCCAGUAUAGUCCCACGAGGUGGGGUCUGGAGAGGGUAAUAUGUACACAGACCUUACCCCAACCCGAAAGGGCAGAGAAGCUGUUUCCAAUUGACCCUCGGCUCAGGAAGGAAAGGUAAAACAAAAACAAUAACAAAAGGGCAUUAGUGUCUCCAGCAGAAAUCACAUAAAUAAUUAACUAAAUAUUAUUAUCUGAACAAUCAUUGUCUAAACAUGAAAGCAUAAAUAAGGUGACAUGCAAUAAUAUCGAACAGUAAGUACCAUAAGGGCACAAUUCAAACAUUAACUACCAUAAAUAACUGCCAUAAGGAGGCCAAAAUCCAAUGCACAAAUCGUCUAUGGAAAACCCUGUCAAGCCCUACCCAACCCCGGGAAAGGAGUACGAAAAAUUCUAGGAGACCAUAAAACCUUGGCUACACUGAUAAAUUAAUAUACUGGUUCACACUACAGAAGGAAUCCAAAUAAUAAAGAAAAUAACAGUAACCAACCUGCAA
rnacentral:lncRNA from 1 species